GCCCGGGUUUGCGGGAACAAAGCAGCGCCCUGCGGAAGGCAGCCCUCGUGAACUCAGAAGUUAGUUUUCGUCUCUGGACCUUUUUAUAAUCGGACUUCAGCCCAUCACUGUCUCGUUUUGUCCUCAGAAACGGCGACAGCAGCCUCUUCCCAAUGUUGAGAGCAAAAAGUGUGAACCCAGAAAUUCCGAGACAGAUCUCAAUUACUUGCCAAGGUUGAGGACGCGCGCGUGACAGCCUCAGGAAGUCCUCACGACAUGUGCCCAAGGUGGUCUGGGCAUAGCUUAGUUUUAUACAUUUUAUGGAGACAUGAGACAUCAAUAAAUGUAUGUAAGAAGUACAUUGGUUCUGUUUGGAAAGGCGGGGCAACUUGAAGCAAAGGCAGGAAGACGUGAAGCAGGAAGGGGGCUUCCAAGAAACAGAAGGAUAGAUGCAACAGAGAAGUACUACUUCCUCCAUGGAAUGUGCUGAUUUCAGGCGACGUGGCACCCAAUGUAGAAAACGCUGGAAUUUUUCCUUGGAACUGGACUGUGAUGAGAGGUGCUUGCCAUGAACAUAAGCUACUGUCUUUUUUUUCUUUUUUUGAGACGGACUUUCACUUUUUUUGCCCAGGCUGGAGUGUAAUGGCGCGAUCUUGGCUCACCGCAACCUCCGCCUCCCAGGUUUGAGUGAUUCUCCUACCUUAGCCUCCUGAGUAGCUGGGAUUACAGGCGUGCGCCACCAUUCCCAGCUAAUUUUUGUAUUUUUAGUAGACA
rnacentral:lncRNA from 1 species